rnacentral:rRNA from 1 species
UACGUAGGGUCCAAGCGUUGUCCGGAUUUAUUGGGCGUAAAGAGCUCGUAGGCGGCUUAGUAAGUCGGAUGUGAAAACUCGGGGCUCAACCCCGAGACGCCAUCCGAUACUGCUGUGGCUUGAGUCUGGUAGGGGAACACGGAAUUCCUGGUGUAGCGGUGAAAUGCGCAGAUAUCUGGAGGAACACCGGUGGCGAAGGCGGCAUCCUGGACCAACACUGACGCUGAGGAGCGAAAGCCAGGGGAGCAAAGCGGG